GCAAGGUGUUUGAACAUUUCUUCUAGGGUGAAGUCUGUUCGGCAUUAUGACUAAUAUACAACAAGGUGAGAGUGCUAAGAUCAGAUAUGGAGCUCAAAGUCGUUGCAUCUGUGAUCUGUCUUUGCCUCAAACUUCUAAUUUCUUGACACAAGCAAGGGUUUGAAAGACGAGCAUAGUGCAAUCAUGAUUCUCCAUUUCCUCGAGUAUGGGAAAUUGAUCCUUUGCUUCCUUUUGUAGCAAUCCUUUCAGGUUCGGAAAGCCUUUUAUGACAAGGCAUCGCAAGGAUGGAAACCUUCUACAGUCAUGAACAUUGUCUUCAAUAUAAUCUACAGACCCGCCAAAUAAGCAUAAACUUUCUAGACAAGGCAGAUCUCCAA
rnacentral:misc_RNA from 1 species